rnacentral:rRNA from 1 species
UACGUAGGGUGCAAGCGUUGUCCGGAAUUAUUGGGCGUAAAGAGCUCGUAGGCGGUUUGUCGCGUCUGCUGUGAAAACCCGAGGCUCAACCUCGGGCCUGCAGUGGGUACGGGCAGACUAGAGUGCGGUAGGGGAGAUUGGAAUUCCUGGUGUAGCGGUGGAAUGCGCAGAUAUCAGGAGGAACACCGAUGGCGAAGGCAGGUCACUGGGCCGCAACUGACGCUGAGGGGCGAAAGCAUGGGGAGCGAACAGG